rnacentral:tRNA from 2 species
CGUCGGCAGACAGGCGAAGGGCAUUGGCGGCCUUCGCUGCCGCCUCCGUGGGUACGGCGAUCACGGCCGCCGGGUCCGCUUCGACGCCGGCGGC